UCGGUAUACAGACCAGUGUACUGAUGGUCGGGUUGAUAACACUUCCCUGUGGAUAUGUUGUAUCAGAUUACCUCCGACAUCGGGAGAAAACCGGCGGACAACAGGCAAAGUCCGUUACCCCUCCUGUGCCCUCCAACGGCUUCUCAUGCCAUCUGGUUCACAGUGGAGAUCAGGCAAAACAGAACACGUUCAUCCUUUGCAGUGAGAAGAGCGAUUCCAGCCCCUGUGUGUGUGUGUUAUUAAACACACAGAAACCACUACAAACGUCCUCUAGAUGUGUUUGGUUGGAUCAUAAUGGUAUCAUCAGAUACUAAUAAGAACUCCACAUACGCAGUGUCCUGACAAUGUUUCUCAAACACUUGGUCUGUAAUGCAAGCAUAUGACAUUAUGACAAUUUCUGGGCUACAGUACCAUUGUGCUCUCUCACUUGGGGAUGCUGGGAAAGCAAUGAAUAGACUACACUAAUUAAAUCCAUUUGUUUCUAUAAUUAUCUCUGGUCAUUUUCUAAACCUGGGAAGCUACCCAACUGAUAUUUUUCCCAUUAGCUUUGCGCAAGGUCCUGAAGAAGACAAUGUGUUUGAGGUAGCUAUGGAGGAAAGUCCAUAUGGACUCCAGACACAGACCAGGCUCAGUCCCAUUAUCAUUGUGCAAAAAGGAAAUGGAAAAAUACAAGUAUUUUGCAUGCUGACUCUUAUCCCCAAAGUAUUAUCUAAGCUUGGAGUUGGUUCUUUGAAGAGCACCAUUGGAGCAGGGCAUUCUCUCUGCCAAGAGCAGUCAAUGUCAAUUAUGAAAUAUGAUUUAUUAAUAAGCAACUCCAUCGGUUUUAUUAGAGAUAUGUACUGACCACAGCAGUGAACUGUUGAAACUCUGGCUUGAGGUCUGAUCCUUUGUUCCCCAUCUGAUCCCUGGAUCAAUUUAACCCUGAUUAAAUAACUCUCACCCGUAUCCAUGACAUUGGUUGCCACUGAUAUUGACCUUGUAGUGUAUAUUCUUGUGUGUAUUUAUUUUAUAUAACUUAAUAUCACUGCAUUGUUGAGAAGGAGCUUGCAAGCAGCAAGCAUUUCACUAUACUGUUUACACUGGCUGUAUCCUGUGCAUGUGACAAAUCAACUCGGAUUUGAUUUGGGAGAGAGAAAAAGAAGAGGAGCAGACAAGAAAGUUUAAAACAAUAGAUGUCACAUUUGAUGGGAUAUUCCCAGCGGUGGUAAAAGUACCCAAUCAUCAUACUUGAGUAAAAGUAAAGAUAAGUUAAUAGUGUCAUGACUGUCCUGAUCAGGUCAGGUUACAGGAGACCACAACCCUAUAGAUUAUCUCUCAAACCCAACAGAGGAGGAGAGAUCUUGGGGUCUGAAGAUGUUUUUUUUUAUGACCCCUCAUGCCCCUGUUAAAUCUUAGGCCACACAACCUUCCUCUGUCUCCUCAAUAUGGAGAACCAGCCUCAGAACAUUAAACAUGAAAUAAAGGGACUUUGGAACAAUGGUUUCCAUCAGCCACAAUGGUGGUCAUGACGAU